rnacentral:rRNA from 1 species
ACUCCUACGGGAGGCAGCAGUGGGAAUAUUGCACAAUGGGCGCAAGCCUGAUGCAGCCAUGCCGCGUGUAUGAAGAAGGCCUUCGGGUUGUAAAGUACUUUCAGCAGUGAGGAAGGCGGGUACGUUAAUAGCGUGCUCGUUUGACGUUAGCUGCAGAAGAAGCACCGGCUAACUCCGUGCCAGCAGCCGCGGUAAUACGGAGGGUGCGAGCGUUAAUCGGAAUUACUGGGCGUAAAGCGUGCGUAGGCGGCCAUUUAAGUCAAAUGUGAAAUCCCCGAGCUUAACUUGGGAAUUGCAUUCGAUACUGGAUGGCUAGAGUAUGGGAGAGGAUGGUAGAAUUCCAGGUGUAGCGGUGAAAUGCGUAGAGAUCUGGAGGAAUACCGAUGGCGAAGGCAGCCAUCUGGCCUAAUACUGACGCUGAGGUACGAAAGCAUGGGGAGCAAACAGGAUUAGAUACCCUGGUAGGCUCUG